AGAGUUUGAUCCUGGCUCAGGAUGAACGCUAGCGGCAGGCUUAACACAUGCAAGUCGAGGGGUAUAGGUUUUCGGACCUAGAGACCGGCGCACGGGUGCGUAACGCGUAUGUAAUCUACCUUUUACAGAGGGAUAGCCCAGAGAAAUUUGGAUUAAUACCUCAUAGCAUUAUGAACCGGCAUCGGUUUAUAAUUAAAGUCACAACGGUAAAAGAUGAGCAUGCGUCCCAUUAGCUUGUUGGUAAGGUAACGGCUUACCAAGGCAACGAUGGGUAGGGGUCCUGAGAGGGAGAUCCCCCACACUGGUACUGAGACACGGACCAGACUCCUACGGGAGGCAGCAGUGAGGAAUAUUGGUCAAUGGGCGCAAGCCUGAACCAGCCAUGCCGCGUGCAGGAUGACGGUCCUAUGGAUUGUAAACUGCUUUUGCACAGGAAGAAACAGUUCUACGUGUAGAACCUUGACGGUACUGUAAGAAUAAGGAUCGGCUAACUCCGUGCCAGCAGCCGCGGUAAUACGGAGGAUCCAAGCGUUAUCCGGAAUCAUUGGGUUUAAAGGGUCUGUAGGCGGUUUUGUAAGUCAGUGGUGAAAGCCCGUCGCUCAACGGCGGAACGGCCAUUGAUACUGCAAGACUUGAAUUAUUGGGAAGCAACUAGAAUAUGUAGUGUAGCGGUGAAAUGCUUAGAGAUUACAUGGAAUACCAAUUGCGAAGGCAGGUUGCUACCAAUACAUUGACGCUGAUGGACGAAAGCGUGGGGAGCGAACAGGAUUAGAUACCCUAGUAGUCC
rnacentral:rRNA from 1 species